rnacentral:tRNA from 1 species
CGGAGCGUGGCGCAGUCCGGUUAGCGCACUAGACUGGGGGUCUAGGGGCCGCCGGUUCAAAUCCGGCCGCUCCGA